GACGAACGCUGGCGGCGUGCUUAACACAUGCAAGUCGAACGGAAAGGCCCUGCUUUUGUGGGGUGCUCGAGUGGCGAACGGGUGAGUAACACGUGAGUAACCUGCCCUUGACUUUGGGAUAACUUCAGGAAACUGGGGCUAAUACCGGAUAGGAGCUCCUGCUGCAUGGUGGGGGUUGGAAAGUUUCGGCGGUAGGGGAUGGACUCGCGGCUUAUCAGCUUGUUGGUGGGGUAGUGGCUUACCAAGGCUGUGACGGGUAGCCGGCCUGAGAGGGUGACCGGCCACAUUGGGACUGAGAUACGGACCAGACUGCUACGGGAGGCAGCAGUGGGGAAUAUUGCACAAUGGGCGGAAGCCUGAUGCAGAAACGCCGCGUGCGGGAUGACGGCCUUCGGGUUGUAAACCGCUUUCGCCUGUGACGAAGCGUGAGUGACGGUAAUGGGUAAAGAAGCACCGGCUAACUACGUG
rnacentral:rRNA from 1 species